rnacentral:rRNA from 1 species
GAUGAACGCUGGCGGCAUGCCUAAUACAUGCAAGUCGAACGAAAGGCUUCGGCCUUUAGUGGCGAACGGGUGAGUAACACGUAGAUAACCUGCCCUCAAGACUGGGAUAACCGAUGGAAACGUCCGCUAAUACCGGAUAGGUAAUCGAAAAGGCAUCUUUCGAUUNUUAAAGAUGGGACACAUCGCUUGAGGAUGGAUCUGCGCUGCAUUAGCUAGUUGUGGGGUAACGGCCCACCAAGGCGAUGAUGCAUAGCCGGCCUGAGAGGGUGAACGGCCACAUUGGGACUGAGACACGGCCCAAACUCCUACGGGAGGCAGCAGUAGGGAAUUUUCGGCAAUGGGGGAAACCCUGACCGAGCAAUGCCGCGUGAGUGAAGACGGCCUUCGGGUUGUAAAGCUCUGUUGUAAGGGAAGAACGGUACCGAUAGGGAAUGAUCGGUAAGUGACGGUACCUUACCAGAAAGCCACGGCUAACUACGUG